rnacentral:lncRNA from 1 species
AAAAAAACAGCACUCUUUUUGUCAAACUGCAGUCUUUUUCCUGCAGAGAGCAGUAAUCAUAUUUCUCAUCUGAAUUUCCCCUAAAUAGGAGUUAUUGCCCAUAUGUUUGAUUUGUGAGGCAAUUAAGUAGGUUGGGAUUUUCUCCUCAUGCUUUUCCCAUUUUCAGUCUCGACUGCUGACUCCAGUAGACGCAGCUUAUUUGUUCUUGCAGAUAAUGUCAUUUAUACUGCUAAAAAAAAUAAUUUCUGAGCACGUGGAUUCAAUGGCCCAUAAGCUCUGAUUUUAUUUUCACAGGUGCAUUUUUUAAGGCCAGAAGGAAAUAUGAUCACCACCAUCUAGCCUGACCUCCAGCAUAAUACGGGACAUAGAAAUUCACCUGUGACGUCUGUGCUGCGCCCUGUAAUUUCUGCUUCAGCUAGAGACAUGAAGAAACAUCCAUGCUUUCCUUCAUUUUUUGCAGUAAGCAUCUAUCAUGUCACUAAACAAGGACAAUGACGAUUUCAUUACAACUCUAGAAAUGCUCUCUGUUGCAUUUUCCAGAGGUGAUGACAAGUGCAAUUUAUCAGCCACAGUUCCCAACCAUGCUGACAGCUCUGGAGAUGAUAGACACAAAAAGACAAUAUCCAAAAUGUAUCCAAAUUAGAUAAAAAAAAUAAAAACGGAUUUUUGUCAUAUCCUUGUGCA